CCUGAUGCAGCACGCCGCGUGAGUGAUGACGGCCUUCGGGUUGUAAAGCUCUGUCUUUGGGGACGAUAAUGACGGUACCCAAGGAGGAAGCCACGGCUAACUACGUGCCAGCAGCCGCGGUAAUACGUAGGUGGCAAGCGUUGUCCGGAUUUACUGGGCGUAAAGGGAGCGUAGGCGGACUUUUAAGUGGGAUGUGAAAUACUCGGGCUCAACCUGAGUGCUGCAUUCCAAACUGGAAGUCUAGAGUGCAGGAGGGGAAAGUGGAAUUCCUAGUGUAGCGGUGAAAUGCGUAGAUAUUAGGAAGAACACCGGUGGCGAAGGCGACUUUCUGGACUGUAACUGACGCUGAGGCUCGAAAGCGUGGGGAGCGAACAGGAUUAGAUACCCUGGUAGUCCACGCCGUAACGAUGAAUACUANGUGUAGGGGGUGUCAUGACCUCUGUGCCGCCGCUAAAGCAAUAAGUAUUCCGCCUGGGGAGUACGGCGCCANGAUAAAACUCAAG
rnacentral:rRNA from 1 species